UUUCCGUAGGUGAACCUGCGGAAGGAUCAUUAUUGUAUAACCGAGGUGCGAGGGCUGUCGCUGACCCGAAAGGUCGUGCACGCCCGAGUGCCCUCACACACAUCCAUCUCCCCCCUAUGUGCACCACCGCGUGGGUCCCCCUUUGGCUUGUUCGGAGGGGGGCUUACGUUUUCACACAAACUUUGUAUGCAGUGUAGAAUGUAUUUUUGUUUUUGCGAUCACGCAAUCAAUACAACUUUCAACAACGGAUCUCUUGGCUCUC
rnacentral:misc_RNA from 1 species